UGUAGUAACCUUUGCUGGACUUGGAUGUCCCCGAGCCGCCCAAUGUGUUCCCGGAGGGUAACUUUGUCUCUGACAUCUGGGGGCUGGCAGGUCCUGGCUGUGUCAGGGCGGUGCUGAUGCCGGCUCUGUCUCUGCAGGCAGACCUGUGCAUUAUGACCCGGCUGCUGGGCUACGUGGACCCCUUGGAUCCCAGCUUCGUGGCAGCCGUCCUCGCCAUCGCUUUCAAUCCACUCUACUGGAAUGUGGUCGCGAGAUGGGAGCAGAGAACCCGCAAGCUGAGCAAGGCCUUCGGGUCCCCCUACCUGGCCUGCUACUCCCUGGGCGCCACCAUCCUGCUCCUGAAUGUCCUGCGCUCACACUGCUUCACACAGGCCAUGCUGAGCCAGCCCACGUUGGAAAGCCUGGACCACCCUGCGGCCUACCUCCUGGGCCUCGCCCUCCUUGGAGUGGGCGUCGUGCUCGUGCUCUCCAGCUUCUUCGCGCUGGGGUUCACUGGAACCUUUCUAGGUGAUUACUUUGGGAUUCUCAAGGAGGCAAGAGUGACCACGUUCCCCUUCAGCAUCCUGGAUAACCCCAUGUACUGGGGAAGCACAGCCAACUACCUGGGCUGGGCCAUCAUCUCAGCCCUUGCCUGAGCUGGUGGGGUCAGAGGCAUGCCAGCCCCACGGGCCUGCUGCUGACGGUGCUGGUGGCCUUCAUCUACGUGGUCGCUGUCCUGUACGAGGAGCCCUUCACCACUGAGAUCUACCGGCAGAAAGCCUCCAGGCCCCACAGAAGCUGACUGGGCCGCAGCAGCCUCAGAGAAGUCCCGGCUGGCCUCCUGGACUGGCCGCACGGGACACAGUGGGACCCGGCUGCAUCUUGGGGCUCGCGCCUGGUGGGGGCCACUCCAGUGCCUUGGAACCUGCUGCCUUGGGGGCCCGGGACAUGCCGCCGUGUGGCCGCUGAGCCCCCCUGCCCCGAUGCCUCUUCACAUCCCCACUCCACAAUAAAGGCAUCCUGACCCCA